rnacentral:rRNA from 1 species
UACGUAGGGUCCGAGCGUUGUCCGGGAUUACUGGGCGUAAAGAGCUCGUAGGUGGUUUGUCGCGUUGUCCGUGAAAACUCACAGCUUAACUGUGGGCGUGCGGGCGAUACGGGCAGACUGGAGUACUGCAGGGGAGACUGGAAUUCCUGGUGUAGCGGUGGAAUGCGCAGAUAUCAGGAGGAACACCGGUGGCGAAGGCGGGUCUCUGGGCAGUAACUGACGCUGAGGAGCGAAAGCGUGGGGAGCGAACAGG